GUGUCAGCCGCCGCGGUAAUACGGAGGGUGCAAGCGUUAAUCGGAAUUACUGGGCGUAAAGCGUGCGUAGGCGGCUGGCCAAGCCAGAUGUGAAAGCCCCGGGCUCAACCUGGGAACUGCAUUUGGAACUGGCCGGCUAGAGUUUGGGAGAGGCAAGUGGAAUUUCAGGUGUAGCGGUGAAAUGCGUAGAGAUCUGAAGGAACACCAGUGGCGAAGGCGACUUGCUGGCCCAAAACUGACGCUGAGGUACGAAAGCGUGGGUAGCAAACAGGAUUAGAAACCCGUGUAGUCC
rnacentral:rRNA from 1 species